GCACUGGCGCAGGUACGCGGGGUCCUCCUGGUAGGCAGAGAUGGUGAGCGCCACGCUGCGUGCGGUGGCCGCGUCCGGGAGUCCCUUCGCUGAGGCGCGCCGCGCAGCCGCUGCCACCCUCCGGUGCUCCAGGAGAAAGAGUCUGUGUAGCCCCAGCUGGUCUAGAAGGCCCUAUCCUCCUGAGUGCUGAUACAAGGUCUCCUGUAGCCCAGCCUGUCCUACAUGUAUCCAAGGAUGACUUUGAACUUCUGAACCUACUGUCUCAGCUUCUGGAGUGCUGGGAUGACAGGAAUGCAGCACCAUGCCCAGUUCUUGCAGUGCUAGGCAAGUGUACUACCAGCUGAGCUAUACUUCCAACCCAGACAAGAUUACAUGAAGCGCAGGCUGGUUUUGACUUCACUGUGUGACGGAGAAUUUGCUGAAUUUCUUCUUAUCCUUCUGCCUCGGUGUUCUGAGUCAUGGCUUGACAGAGCUCUGCCUGGGCUCCUGAGGGCGGCUCAGCUUAUGAAGAAGUUUUUGAUGCCAGCAACACGGACACCUCCACCUACAGCUGUACUCGCAACUUUAAGAGCCACACAGAACGAAAGCACCCAUGUUCCACAAGAUACCAUGUCAAAGGCUGAGAAUGGGGGUCCAGUGAUCUCCCACUAAUGGUCAUGCAAGGGACCUGAGGACACAAGCCCUCAGCAUGAGGAAGAAACAGUAUCAAGACAAUAAACAACAUGCCAGUAAACACCCAGACAGCCACCAAGGGUCUGGGGUGAAGGAACAGAAAUAGGUUUCAGAAGAAAUAGUCAAUAGUUCAGAUCAGUAGUUAUCCACAAUUUAAUACAGUUCCUCAUGCUGUGGUGACCCCCAAGCGUAAAAUUAUUUUAGUUGUUCUUUCAUAACUAACUUUGCUACGAUUAUGAAUUGUAAUAUAAAUAUCUGACAUACAGGAUGUAUUUUCAUUGUUGCAAAUUGAUCAAAAGGGUUAUGACCCACAUGUUGAGAAUCACUGGUUUAAGUGGAUGCCAGCCAUAUGACAUUACUCUUUUUCUAGGUCAAGAGAGGUUGAAUGUUGGUGAACACAUGUAGUUCAGCUAAAUAGAUUCUGAACUCAUUAAAUUGAAACCAAAAUGCAUGCAUUACACACAUGCAGUCUUCUUUAGGAACACUAGCAUGCACUUAUAGAAUCAUAGACAUGGAUGACAAAGGAAGCUCACUCCACUGCACAUGCUCACUGAAUUCAUACAGUUGCUGUCACAAGUAGAUACACUCACAUACAAACACAUUCUCAAUAGUCCCCGAUAACAUGGUCUCACAUAUGGUAGUAAUUAUCCUUUAUGGCUGCAGACACACAGGCGCGCACACACACACACACACGUACAUACGUGUCUCAUGGCUGUGGAUACUGAUGGAUUCUCUCCUCUCUGGCUUGCUCUGCAGUCCGUGUGUGUCUAGAGCUAGCUGCAGGGGGGCCAUUUGAAGACCAGCAAAUGCGGGGGUGGAGGAGGUUGACGUCAGCCGACUAGCCUGUCCAGGGGCUCUGAGGUCAGCAGUCCUGUAACUCCACCCUCUUCGAUUCCCGACAUUGCCCCAUCCCCCUCACCAGAUAGGACCUGUCUUCAUAGCCCCUCAUACUGGCUCUUCACACUCCCUUUUCUUCCAGCCCUUCCCCUCUAUUAUCUCUUUCUCUCCUUUUCCCUUGCAUUGAGUUCACUUUACCUUUCAUUUGUCCUAUCUGUAUAUCCCUUUCCACCUUCCCCCCAUGUCUGUCUUCCCCAUCUCCCUCAGCUGCUUCUCUUGUGUCUUGUCUGUAUUUCUGUCUCCAUCUCACCCCAUUUGUCUUAUCACUUUCUAUCACCCACACUGUCCCCCUGUCUCCCUGCCCUGCCCACACACCUUAUUCUUCCUCCUCACUUACCUCUCAUCUCCCCAGAGCCCACCUUCCUCUCUAGACUCUAAACAAAUGAGUCCCGCAGGAGCACAUAUCAGCAACUGGCAGAUAGAUAAAGUGCACACGCACGCAUAUCUGUGGGUGUGUGUGCCGGUGUUGCUGGCGUGUGUUUCAAAGCAGCCUAGAACUACAGCCAGAAUUGCCUGCUUUUUGCUGGGCUGAUGUCUGUCUGUCUGUCUGUGGGGGGUGUGUGUGUGAACACAUAUGUGUUUCUGUCAAGGUCUGACUGGGGCUGAGGACUGGGGCUGAGGGACUUCAAGUGACUUCUGGGAGUGGUCUGGGCUGAGGUGCUGUGAUACACCAUCAUGGAGAUGGGGUGCCAGGGUGUAUGUACCUCAGCCCUUUGUGGUCAGAAGGCCAGUGAUCCCUGUUACUCUUUUAUAUUCUUUUUAUAAGUUUUUUUUUUCUCUAAGACUAUCCUUCUCUAAGUUCCUCUCACUGCGAACUGAUAGUGGGUAGUGUGCAGCAACUGUCUCUUCCUGCAUCCUUUUGGGUGGUGGAUACUAAUAAUUUCUAUUAUUUCUCUCUGUCUCCCUCACUCUCUUUUGCCCUCUCAUUUUGUGCUUUACCCCCUGACUCUAUUUCUCUACCCAUUUGUAUUCACAUUUCUUCUUCUCCUUUCCUAUCCCACCCAGUCUUCCCCUCUGAUAUCUGUUACCAUCUCUCAUGGAUCUGUCUGCCUGUCUGUCAUCUCUCAUCUCUUAAUAAUCUACCUAUGUGUAUCUAUCAUCUAUGUAUUCCUCUAUCCCUCUAUGUCUCUAAAUAUCAUCUACCUGCCUGUCUCUUUGUGAGACUCUCUCACUCCCCCCCCCCCACCAACUUUUAUGUCUCUCUGGUCUUCCUUUAUCCUGCUGCUUCAUGUCUCCUAGUCAUUCAGGACUUUCCUGAACAAAGCCAGGUUCUCACACCCAGCUUGUGAGAACUUUGCUAGACAGGGUGUAGGGGCAGUGCCAGGUUGGGCCUUUGCUUGAGCCUAGCCACUAGGGAGAAGCUCCCUGGUGGUGGGAACCUGAAUACCACCCACCCAUUAGGGUGGGGCAAGCUGUGUCUGACGCUUUUGCCGGGAGCCUGUGAUGCUUAGUGUCUGGCUGUGUCAGGAUGAUGGAGGCAAGCCCAGAACAGGGGAUAAGAGGAGUUCCUGUGGCUAGGAAGGGAUAGCCCAAGCUCCCUCCUCCCAGGAGCUGGGCAUUUGACUGCCUAGUCUGAACACCGCCCUGACUGGGUGGAGCAACUGUAUAAAACCAGAUGUUUCUAAAACCAGAGUGUGUAUGAGAGACAGACCAGGGUUUCAAACCCUGGGUUUUUUUUCUCAGCCAGCGUACUAGAGAUCUGGCCACAGCCAAGACUCCCCCUUCAGACCCAGGUAUCCAGGCCUUAGUCUCCUCUGUUAGAUCCAGGGUUACAGGACCCUGGCUCUCCUUCCCUGGACUUAGGAUUCCAGACCCUAGUCUUCUUCUCUUAGACCAGUAUUUAAUCCUCCGCCUUUAGACUCAGAAGUCUAGACAGCAGCCCUUUUCUCUCAGAAAAGGAGUUUAGGCCUAGCCCUCCUCUCUCAGACACAGAGGUCCACUAUCCCAUAAUUCCUUGCAAGCAUAGAUGAUCAGGACUGAAUGUAGCAAAGACAAGAUGACAAAGACAGAAGAAGCUGAGCACUGUUGCCCAGUUCUCUCCCCUCUGAUGGUAGCUUUUAACUGGUGCCUGCCCUGAGUCUACAAUGACCUUCCUUCUCCAGAAGGGUUAUUAUUUAAUUUCAUGAUGAGAAGACAGGGGAGAAAGGUAAGGGUGGUAGCUACAAAUGGAGAAGAAACAGGAAAAAACAUGUGUUCAUUGUAGGGUCAACUGAUGGGUGGGGCCCUGGGCUAAGUGAUGCCAGGCACACACAAAUGACUCAGCAGGGGGCCCUGCCUCCCUCUGAGGAGAUGCCAUUCCCCUAGAGGAGACAGCUGUGUAAAUAGAGGACUGGGCACUGAUGGAGUAACAGUUCCACCCAACUGAAAGGCGGGGAGGGCUUCCUGGAGGAGGUGCUCCUGAUCAAUGAGGAAUUAUGGGAGUGGAAAGGGAAGAAGGGAAAAGGCAUCCCAGGCAAAGACAUGGUGUGGCUAGUUGACAAAGCACUCAGUGAGAGGUGCUGUGGAAGUGCAAAGUAGCUGAGAAGUAAUGAGAUACGUAAAGGUAAGAUUACUUUUUAAAGUGCUUGGAGAGAUGAACAAAUGGCUCAGUAGUUAAGAGUGCUUUUUUGCAGAAGAUUUGGGUUGGGGUCCCAGAACUCAUGUCGGGUGGCUUAUAACCACCUGUAACUCCAGCUCUAGUGUAUCUGAUGCCUUCUUCUGGCCUCUGUGGUCACCUAUACACAUGCAAUAUACACAUAAAAAUACAAUAAAUCUUUUAAAAAGAAGGCAUGGACAGCUGCAGAGAUGAUUCAGUGGUAAGAGUACUUGCUACUCUUGACAAGGACCUGGGUUCAGUUUCCAGCACUCCCAUGACUGCUCACAAUUGCCUAUGACUCCAGGUCCACUGAAUCUGUGCUCACUUCUGAACCUUUGUGGGCACUGUAGGUACAUGAUGCACAGCCAUAUAUGUAAGCCAAACACUUGUACACAUAAAAUUUUUAAAAAUAACUUUUAGAUUGAAAGGCAAAAUUAUAUAUUCAUGAUGAGGAUUGCCUAGCAUGCAUUUAGACUGUGGGUUUGAUAUUUAGCACUGGGCAUGGUUGUGUACACUUGCAAAUUCAGGUGUACUAAAAAGAAAUCAUGCAGUGCAAGAUUCUUAGUGUGUGUGUAGGACUGGGUGCUAUGUAUAAUUUCAAAUAUUCGGGAAGGGUCUUGAAAAUAUGCUCCUUAGCCGGGUAGUGGUGGCGCAUGCCUUUAAUCCCAGCACUCCGGAGGUAGAGGCAGGCAGAUCUUUGUGAGUUUGAGGCCAGCCUGGUCUACAAGAGCUAGUUCCAGGACAGGAACGAAAAGCUACGGAGAAACCCUGUCUUGAGAAACCAGAGAGAGAGAGAGAGAGAGAAAUAUACCCCUUAGAUAAUUGGAGGAGGGAGUUUUAUUUUAGUGUUUUGAGGCAUAGUUUCUUAUGAAUGAAAAAUGAAAUAAAAAGGCAAGAAACAUGAUUUUUCCCAGUUAAGAUGGAGGAGAAUGUUUAUUGUGGAUAAAGGGGGACAGACAUAGUCAGAGGCAGGGGCAUCUAGGAGAGCCCAGAGUGGCCAUGACCCUGAGCCAUGUGAGGAGAGGAAGAGGGGAAGAAAAAUGGGGAGAGGGGAGGAAAGUGUAGCAAAAGAAAAUAGAAAGACCAGGUAACCAAAUGGUUGUAUUAUAUAGGGAAGGGCAGCCCAACCUCUGGGCUGGAAAAGUUUAGGGGAGGGGUGUGUCUGCCAGGAGGACCCUGUAACAGAUAGGGAUUUAGAGAGGCUUGGAGAACCAGGUUCACUUUGAUCUGGCAAGUAGGCACCUCAGCCUGUUGUCCUGGGUUUGAAACCUGACCCCUCUCAGCCCAGGUUGGGCUCUAACCCAGAUAACUGAAGAUGACACUGAAUUCCUGAUCCUCACGCCUCCGCUUCUCAAGCUCUAGGAUCGCAGGUGUGUGGUAGCAUGAUUGGUUUAUGCAAUUUGGGGGAAGGAAUCCAGCAGGACUUUUUGCAUGUUAAGCAAACACUCUGUUACCUGAACUACAGCCCCAGCUCAAAGUAAGAGACAUUUGAGUUUCCUGGAGAACUAAGGAGGAAAAUGGCCACUGAAAAAGUUAACUUGGAAGAAAUCUGCAUUUUCUUAAAUACUGCUCUCGAUCUAGGUGGUUACUCUGUAAAGUGUUCUGACUUGGAGAGGAAAUACUCUGAAAAAAAUCCAGAUACUGAAAAAGAGAGGUGGAGGGAGGUAUCUCUCACAGGGUCAUGUGCUUGAACACUUAGUAACCAGCUGGUGGUGCUGUGCUAAAGGUUGAGGAGCUGUUAUGGAGUGUGUGUGUGUGUGUGUGUGCGUAAGAGAGAGAAGGGGGUUGACUUUCAGUUCUUGAAAAAAUAUUCAGUCAAAAGACAAAACAGUUUGAGCAAAAGUUUAUUUUAAAAAGCUGAACAAACAAACUAUAGGGGAAGACUGAACUGGACUGCAUGGAGGUGGAUUCAGUGUUGCAGAUUUUUAAAGAAAUUGUAACGAAUAUUUAUGAGGUGUGUGAGAUAGUCAUAGAAUUAAGUAACCCUUUCUUCUUCCCAAAUCAUGAUGGGCUGGGUAUCCUUUUUAAAGUAUUUCUUCACCUACCCCUCUAAAACAGUCUACAAAAAACAACAAACAUAGACAGUAAAUCCAGAAUUAGAGUGUACAUAUAUAAAAACAUCGGAUAAUUUGGGUGUGUAGACCCUUGGUUACUACACAUGUGUUAGAGAAUUUCCAAGUGUCUUACUUUCUGAUAUAACAAGAACAACCUAACUGUUUCCAAGAUGUUUAACCACAAGGAGGUUCUGACCACAGGGAGACACACCAUCAAGAUGCAGCUACAGUUUCUCCUCAGAUAAUCUCUUUUCCUCCUUAGUGUAAACUUUACACAGCCUAGAGUUAUUUCAGAGGAGAGCUUCUAGAUCAGAUUGGCUUGUGGCCAUGUCUGACAAUGUCUUGACUGAUGAUGUAGUGGGGCACCACCCACUAUGGGUGCUUUCCCAAGGCAGGUAGCCCUGGGCUGUAGAAUACAAUUAGUUAAGCAUGAGCCUGCAAGUGAGUGAACCAAGGAGUAUUCUUUCAUGGUUUCUUCAUUAUGCUCCUACUUGAGUUCUGUUAAUGAUUGAGUGUGACCUGAAAUUAUAAGACAAAUAAAUCUUUUCCUCUUCCAUGUUGAUUUUGAUCAGUGUUUUAUCACAGAAAAGAAGGUAGAGCACCUCAUAUUGAACUCCUGUCUACUCAGAAUUAGAGUUUGGGGGGUCACUAUGUCUAACUGGCAGACACUGGCCACUGGGUAGUAUUACUGGCACACCAGUGAAGGGCUUUAGAUGUUAGAAGCCAGGUCUCUUUUCCUGAUCCCCCAAAAUGUGAACAAGCAUGUAAUGAGCUCCGGCUGUCACAAGUUAAGUCACUCAGCUGUCACACUUUUCUCACCUUUAUGGGCCGUGGGCCCUGAUUCUCUGUUUUCGCUUUUCCCCCACAGUACGGGUCAGCUUUCUAUAUAAUGUAUAGACUUGAUUGCUCAGCAUCUUUUGUGUGUGUGUGCGCGCGUGUGCGCGUGUGUGUGUAAUGAGGGCCUUGUUAGAACAUAAGCUCUCCAUAGACAGAGGUCCUUAUCCUUUCUACACAUUUCCCUGCCCGUAGAGUUUAGGCCAGUUCCUGCGCUUAGCAGGUGGUAGAUCAUCAGGUAUUGAAUGGUUGUCAGGACGAAAAAUCAGAAUCAGGGAGAGGGGAAAGAAAAGAAAAAGGCUAAAGUUUGUUCCUCUCUAAACUUCUAUCCCUUACGUCCUCUUUCUGCCUUUCUCCCUCUCUCCCUUCCCUUUCUCUCUUUUUCCUCUUUCUUUUAUCUCUCUACUCACCGCUCCUUCCUAUCGCCCCCCGCUGACCUUGAACUCACCCUGUAGCCCAGAUUGACACUUCCUGUGUCCUAGGAAGUACUAGAUUAAAGAAAUAAAGGGUGUGUGGGUUGCCCUAAUACCUGCUCUUCCUGGUUUUAUUUUCUGUGUGUUUGUCUAUUGAUCUGCCUCUUUCUUUAUUCUCAUUUUCCUUCUCUCUCUCUCUGUUCUCCCCAUGCUCCA